UUUUAAUGGCGAUUUACGGUCUCAACAAUAUUUAUUUCUAUUUGAUGCAUAAACUCUAAAUCUGGAAUAUAAAUAGCUAAUAUUUCUGAAUUUUAUCUGCAGAUGAAGGCUUGAAUCUGGAGCAUGGGAACCUCUCGAAUUCUGCAAAAGCAACAAAUAAAUGGUUUGUGAAUAUUCCAGAUUUAUAGGAAAAAUUGAUAAAAGUAACUAAUAUUUAUUUAUAAAUUUUCUCAACAGAUCAAUGGAGCACGGAAGAUCUGCAAAAGCAUCAAUCUUUCAAUGGAGCAUGGAAGAUCUACAAAAGCCACAAAAAAAUUAUUUUAGUGUAUAUUCAAGAUUGGAGCAUGGAAGAUCUACAAAAGUCCACAAAAAAAUUGUUUUAGUGUAUAUUCAAGAUUUACAGCAAGUAGGUAUAAAGAAGAAGAAACGGUAUAUUCAAGAUUUACAGCAAGUAGGCAUCAAGAAGAAGAAUUACAUAUCAUCCCUUAAAGGGUUUCCUCAUGUUAAUUUUUCAGUAAAAAAAUAAAGCAAUACAUUAUAAUCACAUGCAAAUACAUAUAUACAUUUCGAUAUUUCGAUAGGUUUCAAAUCCAAUAAUUUAUUGUAUAUUAUCUUUCAUUUUCAUUAGUUUUUCAUUUAUAUAAUAUUGAAAUAGUUUCAUUAUGUAUAUUUAUUUUCCUUUUAGCAUGCGUUCCUAUCUGUGCCAUAACUUUUCAUUUACUGCUUUUGCUUUCCAUCUAAAGCCAGACUCAUCAGAAUUGUGAAAAUAGUGUCAAAUAGCAAGUUAGAGAAAAUAUUUUAAAUCACAAAAAAUCUGAUCUAAAUUUUUUAAGAUAGUGAUGAUACUUUUUUUUCAAAAAAAGCUGCGAGUGCUUGACAGAGACCAACGGUGGUAGUGGACUUGCCUUCACAACGGAGUGAUACCCCCAACAACCACCCAAUACAGAUCUCGACUUCCUCCAUGUUCAACCAGCGCCGACACCAACACCUGAAAAUUAACUCUUUUUUAGUACAGACAAAGAGAUAAAACAAAAGUUAGAACUAUGCAACAAAAAAAGUUCGAACACAAAUAGGGAAACUGUGUCAAAAGAGUAGAUGAUUGCUAAUUAUUUAUCGAAGAUGAUGAAAGAGGAGUAUAGAGUAGAUUCAUACUAAUCUGCAAAAAAAAAGGAAAAAAAAACUAUUCUUUUAAGAACCCAUUUGUGUAGAUAUUCGUAGAUCUAACAAAAUAAUACCAUAAACACAAAAAAAAAAACUCAAAAACGAAAAAACUAAUAUGGCUACAAAAUUAGAGAUCUUAUUCGGUGUUAAUUAAAAANAAGCUCAUCGGCAGAAAAAAAAAAAUUAUUCUUUUCAAAUGAUAUUCGUAUAUCUACAAAAAUGAUACUAUAAAAACAAAAAACAAAAAAUAAUAAACGAAAAAAAAUUAGAUCUUAUGCAGAGGGAGGCGGCGAGAGUCGUCGACAGGAACUUGGGCGACGCCGUCGUUUGAAACCCGGACGUCGGCAGCUGGAUACGGGCUGUGCAGAGGGAGGCGGCGAGAGUCGUCGACAGGAACUUCACUCCGGCUCCUCCACCACCGUACGAAGAUGUGGUGGCGUUAGCGGCUGCUUCUCCUUUUUCGCUGUCAGUAUUUUCGUCCGAUUCUGAAAUUUAGGUGUUCAGAGAGAAGAGGUGAGAGGGGGCGAAAGCUAGGGUUUUAUUUUUGGGAGUGGCCAAAGAAAACGAUGCAGACGAGGGAGAAGAGAAAAAGGGAAUAUGGAGAAGGCUGGAAGAAGGUGAAUAUGGAGAAGCGGGAAUUGAAGGGGAAAUGAUGCAGACGAGGGAGGAGGAAAAGGGAAGAUCUGGAGUUUGGAAGUUUCGAGAUAGCAGCGCCGCUCAUGUGUGGUAAACCCUCAAAUGAGAGAAGUAUUAUGUACACCCUAAAAUGAGGGAGUAAUUAAUUAAUAGUUGGGCUUUAUCUAUGGGCUUAUUGUGGGCUAGCCAUUUACAC
rnacentral:lncRNA from 1 species